rnacentral:misc_RNA from 1 species
AGGAAAGGAGUCUCAUGUAUUCUAUGGAAACGACUCUUUUUAUGUGCUUUUUAGACUCCACCAAACACUUUAUGAGAGAAUACAAUCUGCAAAGAUUAACUCUUCAUCCUCAGAGAGGAAAUGGAGGGCCUCAAAUGAUACAACCCCCACGGAUCUUUAUGCCAGGUUCAUGAAUGCACUUUAUAGUCUACUGGACGGUUCCUCUGAUAACACUAAGUUUGAGGAUGAUUGCCGAGCCACUAUUGGAACCCAGUCAUAUGUUCUGUUCACAUUAGACAAACUAAUUUAUAAACUUGUCAAACAGCUUCAAACAGUUUCCUCAGAUGAGAUGGAUAACAAACUUCUCCAACUAUAUGCUUACGAAAAAUCAAGAAAAAUGGGAAG